CCCCUCGCCCCUUCCUAUCUUGCUGUCCUAACGCACCGACAGCCACGCUCGUGACCUGCCCAUCCCUGACCUCGCGUGUCCCAUUGCCUGCGACGCCCCCGAGCCUUCCCGAGCUCGCUCGAGUUCUUCUACUCCUCCUUGAACUCCGUAGGCUCGUCUCCCCUCUCUCUGCGUGGCCCUCCUCGUGCCAGCGCACCGUCGACGUGUCGUCGUGGCCGCGUUUCCCCCUCGAGCUCGUUUGCCUAUAAAUAGGCUAUCCCGAGCUUUCCUGACCUCACUAGCCCCUUCCCCGCUCUCCCACACACAUCGCCGACCACUCCAACAAGCUCCAAGAGCCCUCCUUCCCCAGCAUUGCCGCCAUGGCCACCGUUGGGCCUCGCUCAAAUUCGAGCAUACUCGAGGCCCUCGCCUCCUUAUUCUGUGACUAGGAGAUCCCCGAGGUCCGGCGAACCUUCUCCGCUCUUCAUCCCCUCCUCCAGCGCACCAGGGAGCCAUACCCAUCGCCUCAGUCGCUGCCGUCCGCCGCGGGAGUUGCGGCCCCGCUCCCUCUGCCCCGGCGGAAGUGGACCCUGCAGGCGGGAGUGCCUCGUCCUCGUGGUCACUCCGGCGGUCCGAGCUCCGUCGGAGGUGGCCGGAGCCGCCCGAGGCAGUCGCCGGAGCACGCGGCCUCCUCUAUCCAGCGAGUGCUCGCGCGAGGAAGGAGAAGACCCAGGACAGAUGGGCCCCUCCUCCCGAGGACCCCACUCGUCGGCCACACAGGCGUUGACCCGGCCGGGUGACGUGGCCAAGUGGAAACAUAUUUCGCGGAAUACAUUUUCGCUUACACUGUAAGCCAGGGGCCUGUUUGUGAAGAAUCUUUUAUAGAAUAGUUCCUGUUUUUCAAACCUCCGUAUCUCGGUGACCGUAACUCCGAAUCAGCCCCCUCUGAGAGAGAACCAUUCCAGCGAAUCGUUCCACGAUUUCACCGCACUUCUUCCCGGUGUAUCCUUCAUCCCCAGGCAAGCCACGACAGCCACAUGCAUGAUGGCCAUGCAGUAGACAUGGUUUACAACUUGAAUAUUUAAAUAUUGUGUGCCGGUUAAUAUUUCGUCAAUGAUUUAUAUAUGUUGGUGCAUCCAUGUUUACCAUUAUGCUAUGGUCUUAUGCAUCUAGUUGGCUACAUGAUUUCUUGCUGCUCUUAUUGUUAAGCUCUGUUCUGGUAAUUAUUUCCGAUGCUAGUAGUCAUGCUAUGUUUAUAUGAAGUGUUAUACUUGUGCUAUUCAUGAUCAUCGCUAUGCCCUGCUCAUGUGCAUCUAGUAGAGUAAUGCUUUAUUGGUGUUCAUGUUAAAUGGUUAUGUAGCUCAUCCAUGUUUAUGCUGAUAUCCUGCUCAUAUGCAUGUCAGUGCAUCAUGCUAUUUUAUUAUGGCUCAGCUCAUUGCUACCUCUUGAGCAUGCAUUGGUUUUCCCUUGAAGAGGAAAGGGUGAUGCAGCAAAGU